CCUACGGGAGGCAGCAGUGGGGAAUAUUGGACAAUGGGCGCAAGCCUGACCCAGCAACGCCGCGUGAAGGAAGAAGGCUUUCGGGUUGUAAACUUCUUUUGACAGGGAAGAGUAUGAGACGGUACCUGGCGAAUACGCCACCGCUAACUACGUGCCAGACGCCGCGGUAAUACGUAGGUGGCAAGCGUUGGCCGGAUUGACUGGGUGUAAAGGGCGUGUAGCCGGGGUGACAGUGCAGGUGUGAAAUCCGGCGGCCUAACCGCAGAACUGCAUUUGAAACUGUGGAGCUGGAGUACUGGAGAGGCAGACGGAAUUACUGGUGUAGCGGUGAAAUGCGUAGAUAUUAGGAGGAACACCAGUGGCGAAGGCGGUCUGCUGGACAGCAACUGACGGUGAGGCGCGAAAGCGUGGGGAGCAAACAGGAUUAGAUACCCUUGUAGUC
rnacentral:rRNA from 1 species